GUAGGUGGCAAGCGUUGUCCGGAAUUAUUGGGCGUAAAGCGCGCGCAGGCGGUUCUUUAAGUCUGAUGUGAAAGCCCACGGCUCAACCGUGGAGGGUCAUUGGAAACUGGAGAACUUGAGUACAGAAGAGGAAAGCGGAAUUCCACGUGUAGCGGUGAAAUGCGUAGAGAUGUGGAGGAACACCAGUGGCGAAGGCGGCUUUUCUGGUCUGUAACUGACGCUGAGGCGCGAAAGCGUGGGGAGCAAACAGGGAUUAGAUACCCUGGUAGUCCACGCCGUAAACGAUGAGUGCUAAGUGUUAGGGGGGUUUCCGCCCCCUUAGUGCUGCAGCUAACGCAUUAAGCACUCCGCCUGGGGAGUACGGCCGCAAGGCUG
rnacentral:rRNA from 1 species